rnacentral:rRNA from 1 species
GGUAGCAAUACAACCGGCGCACGGGUGAGUAACGCGUACACAACAUACCAUAUACUGGAGUAUAGCUUUGGGAAACUGAAGGUAAUCCUCCAUAACAUUGCGAGAGGGCAUCUGAUUGCAAUUAAAGUUUCGGCGGUAUAUGAUAGGUGUGCGUUUGAUUAGCUAGUUGGUAGGGUAACGGCCUACCAAGGCGACGAUCAAUAGCUGGCGUGAGAGCGCGACCAGCCACACUGGAACUGAGACACGGUCCAGACUCCUACGGGAGGCAGCAGUAGGGAAUAUUGGACAAUGGAGGAAACUCUGAUCCAGCCAUGCCGCGUGAUAGAUGAAGGCCCUCUGGGUUGUAAAUAUCUUUUAUCUGGGAAGAAACACUCCUAUUCUUAGGAACUUGACGGUACCAGAGGAAUAAGCACCGGCUAACUCCGUG